rnacentral:tRNA from 1 species
GCCUUGGUGGCACCAAAGGUUAAGUGCUUGGCUGCUAACCAAAAGGCUGGUGGUUCAAACCCACCCAGUGGCU